rnacentral:rRNA from 1 species
GAUGAACGCUGGCGGCGUGCUUAACACAUGCAAGUCGAACGAAGCACUUCAGAUGAAGCCUCCGGGCAGAUUCUGAUUUGACUGAGUGGCGGACGGGUGAGUAACGCGUGGGUAACCUGCCUUAUACAGGGGGAUAACAGUUAGAAAUGACUGCUAAUACCGCAUAAGCGCACAGUAUCGCAUGAUACAGGGUGAAAAGAUUUAUCGGUAUAAGAUGGACCCGCGUCUGAUUAGCUAGUUGGUAGGGUAACGGCUUACCAAGGCAACGAUCAGUAGCCGACUUGAGAGAGUGAUCGGCCACAUUGGGACUGAGACACGGCCCAA